GCCUAACACAUGCAAGUCGAACGGUAACAGAAAGCAGCUUGCUGCUUUGCUGACGAGUGGCGGACGGGUGAGUAAUGUCUGGGAAACUGCCCGAUGGAGGGGGAUAACUACUGGAAACGGUAGCUAAUACCGCAUAACGUCGCAAGACCAAAGAGGGGGACCUUCGGGCCUCUUGCCAUCGGAUGUGCCCAGAUGGGAUUAGCUAGUAGGUGGGGUAAAGGCUCACCUAGGCGACGAUCCCUAGCUGGUCUGAGAGGAUGACCAGCCACACUGGAACUGAGACACGGUCCAGACUCCUACGGGAGGCAGCAGUGGGGAAUAUUGCACAAUGGGCGCAAGCCUGAUGCAGCCAUGCCGCGUGUAUGAAGAAGGCCUUCGGGUUGUAAAGUACUUUCAGCGGGGAGGAAGGGAGUAAAGUUAAUACCUUUGCUCAUUGACGUUACCCGCAGAAGAAGCACCGGCUAACUCCGUGCCAGCAGCCGCGGUAAUACGGAGGGUGCAAGCGUUAAUCGGAAUUACUGGGCGUAAAGCGCACGCAGGCGGUUUGUUAAGUCAGAUGUGAAAUCCCCGGGCUCAACCUGGGAACUGCAUCUGAUACUGGCAAGCUUGAGUCUCGUAGAGGGGGGUAGAAUUCCAGGUGUAGCGGUGAAAUGCGUAGAGAUCUGGAGGAAUACCGGUGGCGAAGGCGGCCCCCUGGACGAAGACUGACGCUCAGGUGCGAAAGCGUGGGGAGCAAACAGGAUUAGAUACCCUGGUAGUCCACGCCGUAAACGAUGUCGACUUGGAGGUUGUGCCCUUGAGGCGUGGCUUCCGGAGCUAACGCGUUAAGUCGACCGCCUGGGGAGUACGGCCGCAAGGUUAAAACUCAAAUGAAUUGACGGGGGCCCGCACAAGCGGUGGAGCAUGUGGUUUAAUUCGAUGCAACGCGAAGAACCUUACCUGGUCUUGACAUCCACGGAAGUUUUCAGAGAUGAGAAUGUGCCUUCGGGAACCGUGAGACAGGUGCUGCAUGGCUGUCGUCAGCUCGUGUUGUGAAAUGUUGGGUUAAGUCCCGCAACGAGCGCAACCCUUAUCCUUUGUUGCCAGCGGUCCGGCCGGGAACUCAAAGGAGACUGCCAGUGAUAAACUGGAGGAAGGUGGGGAUGACGUCAAGUCGUCAUGGCCCUUACGACCAGGGCUACACACGUGCUACAAUGGCGCAUACAAAGAGAAGCGACCUCGCGAGAGCAAGCGGACCUCAUAAAGUGCGUCGUAGUCCGGAUUGGAGUCUGCAACUCGACUCCAUGAAGUCGGAAUCGCUAGUAAUCGUGGAUCAGAAUGCCACGGUGAAUACGUUCCCGGGCCUUGUACACACCGCCCGUCACACCAUGGGAGUGGGUUGCAAAAGAAGUAGGUAGCUUAACCUUCGGGAGGGCGCUUACCACUUUGUGAUUCAUGACUGGGGUGACG
rnacentral:rRNA from 1 species